CACAGCUGCUUUACACCAACGGAAAGGGAUUUCUUAGAAGUACUGCGGAAGGAGAUGACAACAGCUAGGAGCUCAGGAAGAUUCUGGAAGGAAACUAGAGAGACCUUUGGGACUUCCUUCUCUCCCCUCUUGUCCCUGCUUUCUGAGCAUCUGCUUCCAUCACCAUUACCGGCCUGCCUUCCCUGCUUUCCAGUCCAAGUGGAGAGAACUGCCUUGCGCACGGCCUAACUGCCAUGGUUUGGGUUCGACACGUGAGAAGUGCCUAAACUGUUGGUUACGCUUUCAGUUCUGCCUUCUCUGGGAACUGAUUUGACUGGCUCGGGUUGUGUCUGGUGUCCUCCUUCCGCUCAACUGAUGGAGGUCCAUGAGAUAGGCAUGCUGUAUGGUAUAGUUGCUAGGGUGGAUCUAAGCUUGGAGAAGCAGGGUUUGAGAAGACUAGGCAGACAGGCAGUGGGUGCCAACAACAUGAACUCCAGGGACCCCGAUAGGAAGCCUACAAAUUCCAGGGGAGAGUCAAGGGGUGGCUGCUUCUAGCCAAACAAGCCUUGCUUUUCAUACCAACAUUGCCCAUAAUGCCGUGAAGAUCCUGAUGGGGUAGGUGAGAGGGUGGGUAGAGUCCUAGCCCAGUGACAGGAUUUGGCUGGUAGAACAAAAUGCAUCGGAUGUAGAAAAUAAGGAGAAUGAGAGUGGGCCCAAAAAGGGGCCCUGCAUGAUCUCUUCAGUGUUUCCUGGAUUCCUCUACCCCCCGGAACCGGCAGCCCACAUCCGGGCAUUUUCAUUCUUCAUAGUACUUUGAAGAAAUGUUUCAGGUGUCUGUUAUUUUCUGCAUUUUUCCUGCUUUUCUAUUGAUUCUGGAGACAUGGGCCUUUUGCUCGCAGAACACAUGCAAAGAAAUAUUUGUGGAGUAAAAUGUUACGGCAUAAUAAGAUGCCAGGACAAUCUGACGGAAAGAAGCAAAAGUCACUUCACCGGUGGCCCAGAUUUGAUUCACAGAGCUGGCUGAGCUGGGAUGCAGAGGCCUGAAAGCUGGCGGGAAGGAAAGCCUGCAGGCACGCAUGCACACACUUCCCCAAGUCUUGUUCUCUGUAAAGAACAGCUAUAUGCUAAAUUUCCAUUCACGCUUGUAUAGGAAGCUCUCUGUAUUCAGUUACGGGAUAAUUUAGGAGUUCAGCUAAUAUAAACUGAGAUAGAUCAGCAACUGUAUUAAAUUAUUUUGGUUUGUUAAUAAAAUCAAAACUUGCUAAUUAA